UGAACAUCAUCUAAGUGUGGCGAUUCCAUAGUUUUUUUGCCAGGGGUUACAGUAACUUCCAGGCAGGUCUUUGGGAGAUGGUUGGAGCUAAACUCUGCAGGACAGUAAUACUCCAGGAGUGUAGUUUGACACAAACACACACACACACAUCAUCAAUAUCAACUCUAUACAUAGUAGUAUAAAAUAUGUUAUAUUUAAAUUAUGUUAAUGACCAUGUUUGAGAGAGUGAAGAGUGUAUCAUUGUUCUCUACAGGUUGUAUAAUUGUGGCGUCAAAGAUGAAGGUUGUGCUGCUCUGGCUUCAGCUCUGAGAUCAAACCCCUCACACCUGAGAGAACUGGAUCUGUCUGGGAAUAGUCUAGGAAAAUCAGAAAUGAAGUUACUCUCUGAUCUGAAAGAUGAUACACAUUAUAAACUGCAGACAUUGGACUAUUGACUCUCAGUAUUUAGACAUCAGUCCAGUUUCCUCGGGAUCAGCUGAUGGUAAAUAAGGAGCCGCUACAGAGACGUCACAGUCACACAAUCAGCAGAGACACACAGCAUCACACUGUCAUGUGUGUGUGACUUUACAUCACCACCUCCUUUUAUGCUUGACCAUGAAAAUGAGUUACUGAAACAUGAAGAGAACACUGUGUGGUUUAUCAGUGUUCUGCUUCUUAUCAAACGCCCUGCUUGAUCUGGCAGACAGAUAACGCCCUCCAAUAACAACAGAAGCAAGGAAUCUUUUCCCCAGCUUUACUAUCAAUCUUGGAAUAACAUAAAACUGUAAACAUACAAAAAAAUACAGAAAUAUAAGCAUGUAAAUCAAUAAAGUGACCACAUAAGACAUAGUAAACUCUUUAUACAGAGAAUGACUAGCAUUGCAUCAUUAGAAAUAUAUUGCACAAUUUGCAGGAUAAAGGCAAUAAGGUUAACAUCUGGCAUAUAAAGUAUAAAGAAUUAACUAAACAUACAUUGCAUAGAAUCACAAUAUAGAAAUGUUUUCAUACAGAAUGUGCCUUCGGAUCAACUUAAAUCGGGGAAUGAUAGCAGCCAUAACCGCAUGGAAUUCUCUGCUGCUGCUGGAAAUCUGACUCAUACUUAUGAUGUCACGACUCUACAACCUUACAUGCAGUACCCAACUUUGAACAGAGGAAUCAGGAAUCAAUGGUCUGUUGUUUAUAAUGGCAGUGACUUUAGCCAUAAAGGUGGUGUGUACCUUGUGUGUGAGUUUGGAGGAUGUCAUCUGAAGAAGCAUAGAAUCCAAGAUCCUGCAGGUAAGCCCAAUCAUCCUUUUCCACGCGCCACCCAUGUGCAAUGAAUGCGGAGGAUUGAAUGUCCAUUUACAGCCGUGAUUGGACAGAAAUUGUUUUACCACCUUUUCAUCCACAUUAGAAGGAAUUUGCAAGUCUUUACGAGCUCCAGUGAAAAUGGUGCCUCUAUCGGAGCGAAUCUGUUUCACAGGACCCCGGAUAGCCAAAAACCUCCUUAAGGUUAAUGAAGCUGGAGGUAUUUAGGGACUCAAUCACUUCUAUAUGAAAGGCUCUGAUAUUUAGACAUGUGAAUAGCACUGCCCAUCUUUUGCUUUCUGCAUGUCCACCUCUUGUCUUACGAGCAGAUACUGACCAGGGGCCAAACACAUCCAGUCCCACAUGUGUGAAAGGAGGCUCUGUGCUGAGUCUGUCAGCUGGCAGAUCCGCCAUUUUUUGCAUCUCACAGCCCCUUCUGAGUCUGCGGCAUACAACACAGGAAUGGAUGAGACUACUCACACGUCUUUUGCCUCCUAUUAUCCAAUAGCCGGCACAUCUAAUUGCUCCCUCUGUAAAGUGGCAACCCUGACGAUGUGUUCGCUCAUGAAAAUGUCGAAUUAGCAGUGCUGCCACAUGACAUUUACCAGGUAUAAUAUGAGGUCUCUUCUCUUCAGAGCUUAGAUCCACUUUAAUCAGACGACCUCCGACUCUCAACAAUCCACUUUGAUCGAUGAAAGGGUCUAAUUUCCGAAGCGUACUAGCUUUUGGAAGUGGUUUGUUUUGUCUAAGACACUGCAAUUUGUCUGCAUAUGUCUCCUGCUGAAUCGCUCGUACGAUAAUUUCCUUACUCUGAAGUAUUAUGUCAGCACUCAGAGGCAGUUUACAACAGUGCCAUCCCUUGCAUGUGGGAGGGUUGUCAUUUUGACCUCGCUUGUAAGAGCACACAAUGUAAUUCAAUUUGCCAAUGCUCUGAUCAAACGAUUCCAGUCAGAAAAGCGUUCAAAGCGGUUUGAGACAGCAGUAUGCAACACUGUAACUAAUGGGUGAACUUCUGCAUCUUGAUCAGGAUCAACAAGUGUGUAGGGUGUUUUAGUGGGAGUCUGUGUUCUUGGGUGAUGCAAAAAUGCGGGUCCACUGAAUCAGAUGGUGUCUUGCAAUUUGGUUGGUGCUAUGGGUCGUGUCGCAACAUCUGCAGGGUUAUGCUCCGAGCUUACAUAAUGCCUUUGUUCUGGAUUAGUGCUUCUCCGAAUUUUCUGUACACGGUUACUUACGUAGACAUGAAAUCUACGUUUCUCAUUGUAGAUAUAACCAAGAACCACAUGGCUAUCUGUAUAGAAGGUUAUAUCAUCGAAUUUGACCACAAUUUCUGCAGUGAUGGUUUCAAUUAUGUUCACAGCCAACACCGCUGCACAGAGUUCUAGACGAGGUAUGGUGAGUUUUUGGUUGCGGUGCUAACCUCGCUUUGCCAAUGAUGAACCCUGUAUGACUAUUACCAUAUGCGUCAAUCAUCUUAAGGUAAGCGACUGCUGCAAUUACUCUGUCAGAAGCGUCAGAGAAUACAGAGAGCUCUAUGAACUUGGCACCUAACAAGGAUGUAGGUCCAUAGCUUCUUGGGACAUGUUGUAAAUCUCUCAAGGAAUCUCUCCAUAUUUCCCACAGCUCUCACUUGUUCGCAGGUAAGGGUGCAUCCCAAUCAGUAGUAUCCUCAGUUAAUUCCCUUAGCAGUAUUUUGCCUUGAACUGUGAUUGGAGCCACAAAUCCUAGUGGGUCAUACAAGCUGUUUAUCACUGCUAGCAAACCACGCAGUGUGUAAGGCCUUCUCUCAUUUUGAACAUGGAAGUUGAAGCAGUCUGUGUCCAAAUUCCAAAGUAGGCAGAGACUGCGCUCCAUAGGAAGUGAACUGACACCUAAAUCCAGUUCUUUCAGGAGGUAACCGGCGAACAUUUCAACAAAAACUUUAAUAAUAAAAUAAACACAAAAGAGCGUGACAGCCCCUCGCGGAUGACUGUAAAUAAAGUCCAGGCCUGAUUCUCUCUCAUCCAACACUGUUGAUGAUACUCCUUUUAUCCUUCCGGAGCUCCUCCGUGGGACUCGAGAACGGUGAGUGGCGCAGGUGUCGUGCAUUCUCAUUAACUCCACCGGCCUCGCUCCAUUCUCACGGCUCUCGGCCCCGCCCUUCUCGUCACACCUAACAGUCUACUCUGAGAGUUAGUAGACAUGUAGUUGCAAAUGAAUGAGAAUUAGUUGACAUGUAUUUGCAAAGUUACUUAUAGCUAGUAGAUUGUCUAAAGUGGAUUAUCAAAAUAAAGUGUGACCCAGUUAUUUUGGUCAGUUACGGCUUGUUAGUGCUAGUGUAACGAGUUAUAGUGAAUACAGUUUGAAUGUAACAUAUUGUUUUUCACUAAAAUCCUUUUUAUUGUAUUAUGGGUUUAUUUGUUAUUGUAUUAUUGAUUUAUUUCCGUUUUUCUUUGAGCAAUAUAUGUCGAUGCUGCUGUUCACCGUUUAGAGACUUUUAUUUUGAUAAUUUCUGUUGGCAUUCGACUGACGCCAUUUUCAAGUGAGUGCGCGCUUCUCGUCAGUUCGCAUUGUAUAUGCUGGUGAGAGGUAAGCGUUUGUCAGAGCUCUUCAUUUUAUGGGUGAAUUAAGUUUGCAAAGUGUAUAAAUUGACUAAAUAUUCUAUUAUAAUGUUUUAUUAUAAUUCAUAUAAUUGUAUGCAGUGUUCUGUUAUAAGUUUUAUGCGUGAGUGGAUUAAGAAUAUGAAGUUAUAUCAUGUGGGCCGUAUGAUAUUCUACUGGCAUGGUUUUGAGUCAUUAAUUAGCUAACAAAUAUUAUAUCAUACAGGAAUGUCUUUGGAAUGCCCAAGAAAGAGAAAGAUAUGAACUUUAUUCAUGUUAAUCCACAGGUAUUUUACUCUUAUUGUUUAUUUUCUAUAUUCUUGUACUAUGUUAAUACUAUGUUUCAGUGUUAAUGGUCUCUUUCUCAAUUGUUAAACUCAAUUGUUAAAGUGAGUUCGCAUUGUAUAUGCUGGUGAGAGGAAUGUCUUUGGAAUGCCCAAGAGAGAGAAAGAUACGAAAUUUAUUCAUGUUAAUCCACAGACGGAGUGAAAUUAAUGCUGGGCGUGGCUGUCAAUAAAUCCCCUUUGGUGAACAGAA